rnacentral:rRNA from 1 species
AGCUCCAAUAGCGUAUACUAAAGUUGUUGCAGUUAAAACGCUCGUAGUCGGAUUUCGUGGUCGGGCGACAGGUCUCCUUCACAGGUGCACUUGUCGGCUUGCCAUUCUUACCGGAACGGCUGCACUUUUUUAACUAAACGUGCAGUUGGAACGGUUUAUUUACUUUGAAAAAUCAGAGUGUUUCAAGCAGGCAGCUCGCUCUUGCAUGGAUUAGCAUGGGAUAAUGAAAUAGGACUUUGGUGCUAUUUUGUUGGUUUCGAACACCGAAGUAAUGAUUAAAAGGGACAGUCAGGGGCACUCGUAUUCCGCCGAGAGAGGUGAAAUUCUCAGACCAGCGGAAGACGAACCACUGCGAAAGCAUUUGCCAGGGAUGUUUUCA